rnacentral:lncRNA from 1 species
CUCCAAGGAAAGGUUUAAGUGAAAUAAAAGAACAUAGCUGUGACAUCGAAUAGCAAGUGGGGAUCCUCUUUAUAGUUGUGGCAACUGACAGUUGAAAUGACACAAAAAUCCUGAGAAAAAGCACUUAAGAAGGAAUUGGGCAAUACUUUAAAUCAAAAGAGAACAGCACCGGCUCCCAAAGCAAACGGAUUUGUAUGGGCAUUUGAAAAGAGGAAAAGGAUUGACGCGUCCAAAUGGUGAGCUGAGUGUUUCAAAAUCCCCACGGAACUCUCUCCGCUGGGAUGGCUCCUGAGAGCUCUGUCUGGGGGAAGAGAAGCCCAGCCAGAAACCUGACAUGCCAGGAUGAGGCUGAGCAGGGCUUGGGCUGGACAGAGGAAUGGGAGGCCAGGAAGGGAAGCCAGCCUGCGAGCUUCCCUUACCCAGGGGUGAAAUGCUAGCCUUCUGGCUUUGCACGCUGAUGGCGUCUGAUCACCGGAACCUCACCUGACCGCUCUCCAAAACCGCGUGGCCGCGGAAUGCCUGGAAAACCAUGCUGAGGAUGCAGAGGAUGAACCCUGGCUGGCAGAUUCCUGAUGUUGUGUGGAGGCUGCUGUCCAAAAAUAAACCCUUGUGUGGAGGAGGGGAGAGACGUUUGACGAGCGCACCAGCCAGCCUCCGUGUUCAGUGGCGCUUACUGGUUCAUGUCUGCAAAUUUUCUCUUCCGAUAAAAAGCUAAAUGGGGCUCCUUAAGUUCCCCCGGUGUAAUUUUUUUUAAAAAAAAGAAAGGACAAGUUAAAAAUAGCCUAAGAACAAAUCUUCGAGGCAAUGAAAGCUUCGGUCGUUAGGAAGCCCUGGUGAUGAAGGCCAGGGAGGGUUUUCACACUUGAAAUUCAAAAUCUGCAGGACCAGAGGAAAAGACUUGUGGCUGCCCGAUGGGAGGGGGAGGGAGUGGGAGGGAUCGGGAGCUUGGGCUUCUCAGACAGACACAACUUAGAAUAGAUGUACAAGGAGAUCCUGCUGAGUAGCCUUGAGAACUUUGUCUAGAUACUCAAGUUGCAACAGAAGAAAGGGUGGGGGAAAAAUGUAAUUGUAAUGUAUACAUGUAAGGAUAACUUGAUCCCCUUGCUGUACAGUGGGAAAAUUUUUAAAAAUUAAAAAAAAAAAAUCUGCAGGCCCGCACCCACCCCCCUCCCCGCCCCUGUCCCCCUGCCCCCCCCCCCAGCACACUGCCCGGGAGGGGAAGGCUGGAGGGCGGGGUGAG